rnacentral:lncRNA from 1 species
ACUCAAUAAAUAUUUAUUAAUUGAACCAGUUUUACUCUGUGAUAUGUAUGGCUUCCUUUCUAAUUAAAAGUAUGGAUGUUUUAUCAGUGAACUUUUUACCUUUUUCAGAAUAUGUUUGGAGAAAUCCAUUGCUCCAUGAAUAUACGCCUGCCACUGCUGUGGCUUUGUUAUGUCUCCUGUCAUCCUACCCUGAGCUGCCAGGAGCGCUCAUUACCCAUGUAUGAAGCCCAGCUUCAAACCCUAGGGGUUCAAGGAGCUGUGAGGAAUCCAUGGUGGUUCACCGUCAAUAAUUUUGCAGAUGAAGAAUAUGCCUUUUGCAUGGAGUAUGGCAAGACUUGUUCCAAGUAUUUUCUAGUUGGUACAGAAGUCGGGGAGAGCGGCACCCUCCAUCUGCUAGGAUAGGCGUGAGAGUCUGAGUGCUCUCAAGAAGAUAUCUGGCUUUCACAGGACUCACUGUGAGUCUGUACACAGGACUGACGAGGACACUUAAAGGUUUUGUUCUAAGGAUGGAGUAUUGGAAGAAUGUGGUGCACCUCGUAAUCCUGGGAAGAGGACAGAUCUGGAGUCCACUGUGGAGUUGCUUCGUGAGAGUGGUGGUGAUCUGCAGCAUCCAGCUAACGAGAUGUCUGUCCUUUAUUAAGUCGUGGGUGUGGUUUCUGUGACUUUGUCCUAACGGCUGGGCUUUCCAAGUAGUGGGAUUUUUUACAUCACUGUAAUAGUUGGUCCCCCGAGAGUGGGCAACUCCUGUUCUGUUGCUGAGAAGUGUGUCUCUAGCGGUUGGAGUGUGUAUUACAAGCCUAUAGGUAGUCUCUCAUGCUUCAUUCCCCCUUCUGAUUACUCCCCCUUUCUUUGUCCCUUUCUUCCCCUACCGAUCUUCCUACUUCUUAUGUUCCAUAAAUGAGUGAAACCAUGAGAGACUGUGGACUCUGGGAAACAAACUGAGGGCUUCAGAGGGGAGGGGGGGGGGAGAAUGGGAUAGGCUGGUGAUGGGUAGUAAGGAGGGCACGUAUUGCUUGGUACACUGGGUGUUACACGCAACUAAUGAAUCAUGGAACUUUACUUCAAAAACCAGGGAUGUACUAUAUGAUGACUAACAUAAUAUAAUAAAAAAUAUUAUUAAAAAAAACCA